rnacentral:tRNA from 2 species
GGAGGAGUAAUCAAGCCUGGCCAAAGAUGCAGGACUUAAGAUCCUGUCUCUCAGGAGUUCGUGGGUUCAAAUCCCGCCUCCUCCA